UCUAUUUAUAUGGAGAAAAUGUGAAGGAAUUCUACACGAUAUUUGUUUGUGUGCAGAUUUUGAUCAAAAAACCAUUUUUUUCCCCCACUGCAAUGCAAAAUCCCAAUGUGUAAACGGAUCUGAAACUCCAGCUGAGCUCUGAGUCACGGCUCUGAGUCCCAAGGUACGGCGUGGAUGCGCCUCACCAAGUUCUGCACAGCCAGACAGUUUCCGUUUGAAGACGUAUCAGAAAAGCUGGCAAUCUCGAAGAGUUCCCAUUAAAACUUUAUGAUGAGAGAUGGAACGCAAACCAUCGCGGAAUAUUCAGGGCAUAAAAACUAACCCUGUGUGAAAUCCCCCACCGGUCCCUCCAGGAGGACGUGUACUUCCAGAGGAGGAGGCAGCAGUUUAUGCUCCGUUUUAAGACUCCUUGAGCACCAGCAUGGCAGAACGAGCCGCCUGUGUAACAGAUCCUCGUGGGACGUGUGGUGGGAAGAAAUACGAGGUUUUCUUGGAGGCAUUUGAAGUCUGAUCUUGCUCCCUGGGGCUCGGUGGGAAAGCUGUUAGCGUGCACGGCGCAGGCUUGAGCGUGAUGAGAGCUGAAGGGUGCAGGAGGGCUGCGUGGUGGACGUAUGUGUGCAUCUGCUCUUGGAACCCAGGUUGCCUCGGAUGUUUAUGAGGGUGGAUAGUGAUAGGGCAAAGGGGAAUGGUUUUAAACUGAGACAGGGGAGGUUUAGGUUGGAUAUUAGGAGGAAGUUUUUCACCCAGAGGGUGGUGAUGCACUGAACAGGUUGCCCAAGGAGGCUGUGGAUGCCCCAUCCCUGCAGGCAUUCAAGGCCAGGCUGGAUGUGGCUCUGGGCAGCCUGGGCUGCUGGUUGGCGACCCUGCACAUAGCAGGGCGUUGAAACCAGAUGAUCAUUGUGGUCCUUUUCAACCCAGGCCAUUCUGUGAUUCUAUAUGAUUCUAUGAUGGUGACCCCACUACCUCCCUGGGCAGCCUCUGCCAGCGCCUCACUGCUCUUUCAGAGAAGUUUUCCUAACAUCCAACCUGAAUGGUGCAACCCUUCUUCUUCCCAACACUGAGACUCCUUCCUGCCUCCC
ensembl:lncRNA